CCUACGGGAGGCAGCAGUGGGGAAUAUUGCACAAUGGAGGGAACCCUGAUGCAGCGACGCCGCGUGGGUGAAGGAGUCCUUCUGUACGUAAAGCCCUAUCAGCAGGAAAGAAAAUGACGGUACCUGACUAAGACGCCCCGGCUAACUCCGUGCCAGCAGCCGCGGUCAUACGUAGGGGGCAAGCGUUAUCCGGAUUUACUGGGUGUAAAGGGAGCGUAGACGGCAGUGCAAGUCCGGAGUGAAAGCCCGGGGCUCAACCCUGGGACUGCUCUGGAAACUGUAAAGCUGGAGUGCGGGAGGGGCAGGCGGAAUUCCUGGUGUAGCGGUGAAAUGCGGAGAGAUCAGGAGGAACACCAGUGGCGAAGGCGGCUUACUGGACUGUAACUGACGUUGAGGCUCGAAAGCGUGGGGAGCAAACAGGAUUAGAUACCCGAGUAGUC
rnacentral:rRNA from 1 species